CGCUUAGUCAACACCACAACCUCAGGAGGCAGGUUCUAUUGUUAUUCCCAUUUUGCAGACAAGGUUUAGAGAAAUUAAGUAAUCUGCUCAGACCACAUACCUAGGAGGUAGUGAGCCUGGAUUUAUGCCAUAAUGGCCAUUUUGGGAACUUGUCUGAAAAUUCCUCUGGGUUAUUUCAGAAUCCAGUUGUCAGCCUGGUCUUUAGAAAGGGUUGCAGUAGAGGCCAGUUGUCUCUCCCACACACCUGGAGACAUUUCAGGUCUGGAGGGCUAACCUGAAUCAGAGGGAAUGGGCUUUCAGCUGGCAUAAGACCUGAGGCCAUAUUCAUAAAGUUAAUUCGUUUUGCUUCCUUCUCUUUUGAGGAGUUUUCCUAGGUGUGUUUUCCUCCCAGGUGUCCCCAGGAAAAUGGGACCCUAGAGAAGCCUUGGUUGGGCGAAGCUGGGUUAUGUAGGAAAGCCCACUGAAGGCGGUCUGGGGAUAACAGUAUAUGAUGGUCUUUUCUCUUUCCUUUCAGUCUGCCCCAGGCAAAGUCAAAGAGGCUGUGAAGGUGGCCAUUGAUGAAGGAUACCAUCCAUGGACUGUGCCUAUCUUUACAAGAAUGAGAAUGAUUUGGGGGAAGCCAUUCGAGAGAAGAUCCAAGAGAAGGUUGUGAAGAGGGAGGACCUCUUCACUGUUGUCAGGAGGAGACGAUGGGGCAGACAGCCACUGGUCUGGAUGGGAGGCCGAGUCCAUGUGUGGCUGCGGAGACUGACCGCUUGCCUGUUUUCUCUCAGUUGCAUCUUAAAGAAUCAUGAUUUCUGGCAGCCCAGCCUGGGGAGGACUUUGUUCCCAAAGAUGAUAAAGGCAUUGUCCUUACCAGCAAAACAACAUUCUCGGAUGUCUCGGAAGUAGGUUCCAUCUUCUUCUAAGUGUACUGGGAGUGAAAACUUUCCUUCAGUCAUCCACAAGGAUCUACAGUGGUGUGAAGGAGCCCACGUUCUGUUCUUGGUGCUAUUUCAUUCCAUUGUCAUUCUCCAAUUCUUUGAACUCCUUCCUAAUUUCUUUUGGCUUUUGGGUCAAUUUGACACUAUUUAUGUUUUCAAAGGCUAAAACUGAGUCCUCAAAUGAGGCUGGGAAUAUAAUAUACCUCAGUUUGGAGGAUACACUGCUGUUCUCACACCAGGGGGAGGGAUUUGAACGCAGUGUCACUCUAGGUUUGCGUGUCUUAGCUGAGUAUCCUAGGGUGAGUUAUUUAACUCCAAUAAGCCUCAGUUUCUGCCUCUUGAAAAAAAAGCCUUUUUGUUUUUAAAGUGAUUUUUACAUGUGAUUUUUUUUUCUUGAGGAAGAUUAGCCCUGAGCUAACUACUGCCAGUCCUCCUCUUUUUUGCUGAGGAAGACUGGCCCUGAGCUAACAUCCAUGCCCAUCUUCCUCUACUUUAUAUGUGGGACGCCUACCACAGCAUGGCGUGCCAAGCAGUGCCAUGUCCACACCUGGGAUCCGAACCUGCGAACCCCGGGCCACCAAAGUGGAAUGUGCGCACUUAACUGCUGAGCCACCAAGCCGGCCCCCUGGGCCUUCCUUGAUUAAAAAGGUUAGGUUUUAGGAUAAACAGAUUAGGUUCCUAUUAAUGAACUAUAUGACAUUUUUUGCGUCAUUUGAAUUUAAUCAAACAGGGGUAAAUAAGUAAGCUGAUAUGGAGAAAUGCUGUAUUUUAAAAAAAGCAACUUCCUGGUUAUUCCUGAUUUUAUUUUCCACAAUUAUAUCUCAAGUAACGAGAGCUUUGCUGGCCUCAGGGUCCUCAAUCUCACAA
rnacentral:lncRNA from 1 species